rnacentral:lncRNA from 1 species
AGUACGUAGUCAUUCGCCAAACGAAAAGGUUGGUGUCCAACUAGUUUGCCAGUAAAUAAGAGAUAACAGGAUUACUAGUAUUUUUCUAAUCCAUAUGAAAUAAACCUACGGAUCUGAUACAAAAAUGGAUAAUGAAACAGGACUGGCCAUUUUAAGUGCCGUAUUAAAAGGCAUGUCGUGCCCAAACCGAAUACUCACAAGUGAAGAAGAUAAUUCGACUGGAAUUGGCGUCAAGGAUCUGCACAAGAUUUUGUUGAAAGGAUGCUAUUACGAUCCGGAACGGGAAAACAAAACGGAUACUCCUAGUGCAGUUGUAUUCAGUUGAAUUGUAUUAUUCUUCCCUUGACUAUUAAACCCACUACGACAAUCAUUGAAUUCAAAAGGAUUAUAUUACCAUCAAAAGAAAUUCCGCCACAAACCCAACGCUUGAUUUUGGCUAUUCAUUUAGACGAUGAUUAAAAUUUAAAAGAGGGGAGCACUUGAAUAGUCUUGAUCUAUACAAGUGUAUAGCACACACAAAAACCAAAGAUACUCUACGUCGCCUUACAGAACUUUUGUUAAAAUUUUUCAGCUAUUGUUUACACCGAAUGCAUUUUAUGUUGACAACCGAACGUUUUCCGUUUUUUCCUGUUUUUCUCUGUUGUUUUUUUUUUCUUUGUUUGUUUUUGUUUUGCUCCACAAUGAAAACUUUCAUGCUGCAUCUGUCUGCGCAUAUAAAAUAACUUUUAGAAUAUCUUUUAAAAUCGUUGGCGAUUUUUCAGGAUAACAAUGCAGCGCGAUGACUUAUAUUUUCAACUCGAGUGUUUAAUUUUUACUAAAUCAUCUUCGUGACGCUUCGCCUUUAACCAAUGGAAAAAUUUCUUUGUAAACCACUCUUCCAUUUCAAAAUAAACUCGAUUUGUUUAUUCA